rnacentral:rRNA from 1 species
UACGUAGGGUCCGAGCGUUGUCCGGAUUUAUUGGGCGUAAAGAGCUCGUAGGCGGUCUGUCACGUCUGCUGUGAAAACUCGGGGCUUAACCCCGGGCCUGCAGUGGGUACGGGCAGACUAGAGUGCGGUAGGGGAGACUGGAAUUCCUGGUGUAGCGGUGAAAUGCGCAGAUAUCAGGAGGAACACCGGUGGCGAAGGCGGGUCUCUGGGCCGUAACUGACGCUGAGGAGCGAAAGCGUGGGGAGCGAACAGG